rnacentral:rRNA from 1 species
CCUACGGGUGGCUGCAGUGGGGAAUAUUGCACAAUGGGGGGAACCCUGAUGCAGCGACGCCGCGUGAGUGAAGAAGUAUUUCGGUAUGUAAAGCUCUAUCAGCAGGAACGAGACAAGACGGUACCUGACUAAGAAGCCCCGGCUAACUACGUGCCAGCAGCCGCGGUAAUACGUAGGGGGCAAGCGUUAUCCGGAAUCACUGGGUGUAAGGGGAGCGUAGACGGCUGAGCAAGCCUGAAGUGAAAGGCGGGGGCCCAACCCCCGUACUGCUUUGGGAACUGUACGGCUGGAGUGCAGGUGGGGUGAGUGGAAUUCGUGGGGGAGCGGUGAAAUGCGUAGAUAUUAGGAGGAACACCAGUGGCGAAGGCGGCUUACUGGACUGUAACUGACGUUGAGGCUCGAAAGCGUGGGGAGAAAACAGGAUUAGAUACCCGAGGAGUC